CGGUGCUUUGAUGGUCUCCUCCAAUAGGAAUCAGUGUCUCGUCUCCGCCAAUAAGGAUCCGUGUCUGAGGAUCGGUGUCCUCAAAUGAAAUUUUAUUUGUCACAUGCUUCGUAAACAACAGGUGUAGACUAACAGUUAAAUGGUUACUUACGGGCCCUUCACAACAACAGGUGUAGACUAACAGUUAAAUGGUUACUUACGGGCCCUUCACAACAACAGGUGUAGACUAACAGUUAAAUGGUUACUUACGGGCCCUUCACAACAACAGGUGUAGACUAACAGUUAAAUGGUUACUUACGGGCCCUUCACAACAACAGGUGUAGACUAACAGUUAAAUGGUUACUUACGGGCCCUUCACAACAACAGGUGUAGACUAACAGUUAAAUGGUUACUUACGGGCCCUUCACAACAACAGGUGUAGACUAACAGUUAAAUGGUUACUUACGGGCCCUUCACAACAACAGGUGUAGACUAACAGUUAAAUGGUUACUUACGGGCCCUUCACAACAACAGGUGUAGACUAACAGUUAAAUGGUUACUUACGGGCCCUUCACAACAACAGGUGUAGACUAACAGUUAAAUGGUUACUUACGGGCCCUUCACAACAACAGGUGUAGACUAACAGUUAAAUGGUUACUUACGGGCCCUUCACAACAACAGGUGUAGACUAACAGUUAAAUGGUUACUUACGGGCCCUUCACAACAACAGGUGUAGACUAACAGUUAAAUGGUUACUUACGGGCCCUUCCCAA